UUCAGCAGCAGUGAUGGGAAGGCAUCACUGGGACCAGCCUAUACUUGUGCUGUUUGCUCAGGCUGGGGGCAGACUUGACAGACUGAGACCUGCCUGUCACCGUUGGCUGGGCUGGCCAUCCCUGGACAAUGGCUUACACCAGUCCUUAUCCCUUUACCUCCUGUGCUGUUCUGAUUGGGUGCUGUGAGACAUGAGAAGUUGUGGAUGUCCCAUUCGUGGAAGUCUUCAAGGCCAGGGAAGUGUCCACAGAAGAAGUGAAAUGAGAAGAAUUUCAGAGAAUAAACAGAGAAGUGCAACAAGGACACAGAUUCACAGAAAGAGCAUUUUUUGCAAGGAGGUGUCCCAGGUAUUCCUGAGAGAACGACACAGCCUUGCCCAUGAAGAAGUGUGAGGCUGAGUGGAACUGGGAAAUAACAGUACUUUGACACAGCUUCUCUUGUCUCCUUGUGCACAUGCAGAAAUUAAGACUUUCCAGGUACUCAUUGGAGUGGUGUGAAGUGCCUCCAACCAAUGUGCAACAAACAUAAGUGAGAAGGAACCUUUGUUCUACUUUCAGCUAGAGAACAAGAAUCCCUCUGCUGGUCUCUUCUACUUUCAAGGCUGGAAUAUCUGUCUGACCUUCAGCUGUACUUGGGCUGCUGUUCUGGAAUUUUCCACACAAGAUUUUAACCUUGCUGUUGGAGAUGAGAAGUAAGCUUACUGUUUUAACAUCAGCAGUGAAAGAGUAGCAGAACUUCUCCAUGAAUGGAAGACACCAUUUCACUGUGUUUAAACAGAAAGAUGAAACAAUGGCUGAUAAUUUGUGACACUGACACUCCAUGAAUGGAAAUGAGGAGGGUAGUGAUAAAGUGGCUUCAGUGGGCAUCUGGUGGACAGCAAAAGUCAACCCACCACAGUGGGCUGAGCAAUACUUCCAAGGUGUGAAGCAGAACAGCUCAGAAGAGGGGCAGAACCUGAAACCAUGCUUAUGCAGCUCCAGUGGGCAGGAGGCUGCAUGCAGCGGGGGGAAAUGGUGCUGUUCUCCAGCAGAACAGCCAAAGUGCAGCUUCCAGACAGACGAUUACUUGCUUGCACACUGAAUACAUUAUACAGACAGAAACAGGCCAUCAGUUAUUUUCUGAACUACUCACAUUGGGUCGGCUAUAAAGACUGUGUGUGUCAUUGAUUUUAUGCUGCUCAAUAGGGUGGCUCCUGUGGAUGAAAGGACAGCUUCUAAAUGCUUCCUGAAUAUGAGUGGCUGACCUGAGUUUCUAAGAUAAAUGCUUAAUGGUACACUUUUGUUUUCACAGACAUUAAAUAAAGCUCAGAGCAGAUGAUAAAGAGCUUCAUCACCAUGUUUACUAAAGAAAUCAUUGCCAAUCUUCUUCUACCUCAGGAAGCUCAAGCAGGCAGAUGAUCAUCCUCCUCUUCACACUCCUCUCUGAACACCGCUUCACAGGAAUACAAGGGCUGUACAAGCCUUGCAGCUGCUGGAGGGAGAAUCCUCCCAAGACACAUGAAAGAAGUCCCUGCAGUGCAUGCUGCGAUGUGGAUUCUCAGUUGAUCUGAGCUGUAGUUCUCUGGAGUUUUCUCAUGAAUUAGAGCAGACUUGGGAGUAAUGCUUUGUGCCAGGGGCUGUACCAGUUUCCAAGGCUGAUGUGAAUCAUAGGAGUGGGAGGGUGGCUGACAGCUACCUUAGGGCUCUGCUGGUGGGCCAUGACUUUUUGCAAUAUUACAGCUAUGGGCACCAAGAGACCUAUGCCAAUGGAUUAUAUCCAGCUGUGAAAAACUAUGAAUGGUAGAAUUUUGAAAACAGGAAUGGUUUGUCUUACACCAUCACAGUUCUUCUCCCCUCUCCUGUCAUCUGUUUUCACUUCUUGUGGGUAUACUAAAUGCCCUAGAAACAUUAUGUGAGGACACAUGAGCUGUUUGAAGGUCUAAAGUCUGCUGGAAUACUGUGGGGGAACUGUGGAAAUGGAGGAAGACAGAUUUUGUACAUUCUUGUCCACAGUGCUUUUUGGGAGCUGAUUGAAGAGGCCUGUUCCUUGGCAGUCCUGGGACACAAUCUUGGAGAAAUCUGGUUAGAAGUCCAGAAGAGGGCCAUGACUAAGUCUUCACUGAUCCUUUCAUUUGUGAAUACUCCAGGACAAGACACAACUGACCACAAGUUAGAGGCAGAUGUCAAGAUUUCAGAGUGUCUCUGGUCGUGAGCAAACUACAAACAGUUCUAUGAUGCUAAUUUCACAAGCAUCAAGCUGUAACAAUCAAACUUCUGAGCAGCAGUUUUGGAGUUUGAAGCAUAUUUGUUGAACACAAUGGGCCUUUUAUGAUCUGUGUUCUUAACUGGUGACAUUGACAACAUGCCUGCCAUCUUCAGCCACACACCUCAUGAACAACUCCAGGCACAAGUGGAUGCUAGAGGCCACCCAGCUGGAAAGAAUCUUGGCAAGAGAGGAGCAGGGACCCUGGUGGACACCAAGCUGAAUGGGAGCCAGCAGGGAAUUCUCAAUGCAAAGGUGGCUGGUGGCAUCCUGGGCUGUACUGGGCAAAGUCCUGGCACCAUGGCAAGGGGGAUGACAAGUCUUUCCCCUCUGCUCAGCACCAGUGUGGCCUCACCUGCAGUGCUGUGUUCAGUGCUGGGCUCCUCAGAGCAAGAGAGAUGUAAACAGACUGUAGGGAGUCCAGCCAAGGACCACAAGAAUGAAGGGAGUGGAGCAUCUCUUCCAUGAGAAGAGACUGAAAGAGCUGGGACCGUUCAGCUGGGAGAAGAGAAGGCUCAGACAGAUCCCAUCAGUGUCUACAAAUAACUGAAGGGAAGUUGCAAAGAGGAUGGAGACAGGCUCUUUUAAGUGGCAUUCAACACCAGGACCAGAGGCAAUGGGCACAAACUGAAACACAGGACAUUUUCUCUGAAUAUCAGGAAACACUUUUCUGAUGUGAGGACCACCAGGCACUGGCACAGGCUCUCCAGAGACACUGUGGAGUCUCCCUUUGUGAAAAUAUUUAAAAGCUGUCUGGAUAGAUACAUGUGGCCAUGCUUUGCCAGGGUGGUGGGACCAGAUAAUUUGCAAAGAUUCCUUCCAAUUUCAGCCAUUCUGUGAUUCUAGGAAAUACAAUGGAGAUCAACAUCUGGACCUCCUUCCAAAAUUUUUUCGUGGCAAAGAAAGGCGAGCAUUGCAUGAAACUUCAAAUCAAGAUAUUACAAAACAGUUGCCCAUUCUAUAUACAUCAAACCAAGUCCUUCUAAAUGCUUAGGAGUCUCCUUCUAUCAACCACAAUUUUUUUAAGCAGCAUUAUGACACUGAGUUUUUAACCAGAGUUUAAGAUGUUCAGUGCUCAAUUUUUGUACCAAGAGAAAGAAGGAAAAUAAGAACUCUUGGAAAUGGGCUGUUACAGACCAGUAUACGGCUCAUAAGGAACUGCUGUGAAAGGAAGCUCACGCUUGCAACCAAAGAAAUCAAAAGAGAUAAAGAUAUAUACAUGUUUUCAGAUUGCAUAAUCAUUGAGCCAUAGAAUGGUUUGGGUUGGAAGGGACCUCAAAGUUCCAGCCUGGCAUGAUGCUGAGUCAAGGCAGGUUUAGGAUGGGUAUUAGGAAAAGGUUCUUCACCCAGAUGGUGGUUGGGCACUGAAACAGGUUCUGCAGGGAAGUGGUCACAGCAUCAGCUAGACAGAAUUCAAGAAGCAUCUGGAUAAUGCUCUCAGGCACAUGGUGUGACUCUUUGAAUUUCCUGUACAGAGCCAGGAGCUGGACUUGAUGAUCCUGAUGGGUCCUUUCCAUCACAGAAUAUUCUAUGAUGCUGUGAAUCCUCCUGCCACGUGCAGGAAGUAAUUCAUUGGACCAGAUUGCUCAAAAACCCCAUCCCAACUCUCCCAGAACAUUUCCAAGGAUGGGGCAUCCACAGUUUCUCUGGGCAGUCUGUUCCAGUGCCUUAUCACCCUGCCAGUAAAGAAUUUUUUCUGUAUAUCUAGCCUGAACAUUCCUCUUUCAGUUUGAUCCCAAGAUGUUCAGUGUUAAUUAACAGGAGUUACUGCUUUUUGACACACAGAUGAGCAAUUUGCUAUUCAGGAUCUCAUCAAAAGUAGAUGCCAUAUUCAAGGUGAUUUCAAAAUGUGCUCUUAGAUAUAAAGCAGUGAUAUAAAUCUUAGAGGAAUGUCAAUCAUUUGCCAAUCAGAUAGAAUUAUAGUCUACAGACACAUGGAUGGCAACAUAAUUGAGGCCUACCAAUGGCUCAUUAAAACAUCAUGCAAAGUAAUCACCUUGCAAAGUAGUACCUGAGUAAAAGUAAAAAUACAAAUUAUUACAAAAAGCAGGAGUGAAAACCCCUCAGAUGUAGGCAGAAGGGUUUUAGUGGCUUUGUAUAGCUGCAGUUCUGGCAUCCUCAACUGCAGCUGAACAUGUGAGAUCCAGAACUCAUAGAAGAAGGGAACAGAAAUUAAGGAAAGAUGGAAUGGCAUCUCUGUGGAGGGAGAUUUAAAUAAAUUAGGACUCUUCAGCCUGGAAAAGAUACAGGAGAGUAUGGCAGUGAUCUGUCAAGAAUGACUUAGAAAAGGUAAAUGCAAUAAUUAUUUUUAUGUUGCAAGACUAGAGAUUAUCAUGCAGCAGGUUCAAAAGGCACAUUUUUUUUGUACAAUGCAUAAGCAAAUUAUGGGACUCACUGCCAAAGGAGGGUCUGGAAACCAAAUAUAUAGCAUCACAAAAAGAAGAUUUCAUGAAGAAAUGGAAGUCCCUCAGGAGUUGAGCAGCCCCAAAGCUAAAGCCAGCCAGCAUCUGUGUAGAUGGAUUGUAUACUGAAACAAUAUUUCUGUGUAUUUAAUUCCUUCUUUAUUUUUUUCCCUAAAAAAAGUGUGGAAAUGUAGCCAGAGUAUAACUUGUGUUCAGACAGACCUAGCAGAGCAUCUCUUCUAACAAGGGGGAUUUAAGCAGACCAAAAAAAAUUUACUGAAAGUGACCCUUAAAGAUUUCAAGGUUAGCUUUUAAUUAAAAAAAAAAAAAACAAAAACGGAAGAAGCUGGGUAUUGUACUCCAUCUGGCCUUGUUCUGAACCAAUAGAAACAGUAUGAGUUAAAUUCAUUAUUUCUAAGAGAUGCUGUAUAUGCUAUACAGAAAAUGAAGCCUGUGGUAAACAAAUGUUUGGUGUCUGCAAUAUUCUCAUCAUGAAGUAAUUUUGCUUUGAUGGAUGGAUAUCUAGAAUUUAACCAGCUGCAGGCAUUAAAGCAAAUCCUUUUAUUCUAACCAAAGAGAAACAAAAUGCAGAUCACAAAAUCACUAAUUUCUACCAUAUUACAGUAUCUCCCAUGUGUUUUGGAUAUCCAUUGGUCACCACUGGUUACUCACAUGCUAGAUAUAACUUUUGGAGCCUAUUAGAAAAACCUCUCUAAGCACAUAACAAACCUGCUCUCAGAAGAAAGAAUUUUUAUGCAAGUAGCAGCAAGUAGUAGAAAACAAAGUUUUCCAUUGGGUAGGAUGUGAAAUAAAGACGUAUCAUGUCCUUAACAUCUCUUCAAUGUCUACACAGGAUUUAGUGAGUCAAGUCCUGAGAUGCAAUGACAAGGUAGAAGGAAUGAACACUCAACUCAAUACACCUUUUAAAGAUCUGUUAAUUAUAGAUUUUCUUGAACAAAGUUUGGCAUUGUUAGAAACAAAGAAGAAUAUUGCACAAAUGCUUGACACAAAUAUUG